GACGAACGCUGGCGGCGUGCUUAACACAUGCAAGUCGAACGCUGAAGCUCAGCUUUUGUUGGGUGGAUGAGUGGCGAACGGGUGAGUAACACGUGAGUAACCUGCCUCCUUCUUUGGGAUAACGCCCGGAAACGGGUGCUAAUACUGGAUAUUCACUGGUCUUCGCAUGGGGGUUGGUGGAAAGGGUUUUUCUGGUGGGGGAUGGGCUCGCGGCCUAUCAGCUUGUUGGUGGGGUGAUGGCCUACCAAGGCUUUGACGGGUAGCCGGCCUGAGAGGGUGACCGGUCACAUUGGGACUGAGAUACGGCCCAGACUCCUACGGGAGGCAGCAGUGGGGAAGAUUGCACAAUGGGCGCAAGCCUGAUGCAGCGACGCCGCGUGAGGGAUGGAGGCCUUCGGGUUGUGAACCUCUUUCGCUCAUGGUCAAGCCGCAACAAUGGUUGUGGUGAGGGUAGUGGGUAAAGAAGCGCCGGCUAACUACGUG
rnacentral:rRNA from 1 species